rnacentral:rRNA from 1 species
GACGAACGCUGGCGGCGUGCUUAACACAUGCAAGUCGAGCGGUAAGGCCCUUUCGGGGGUACACGAGCGGCGAACGGGUGAGUAACACGUGGGUGACCUGCCCUCAGCUCUGGGAUAAGCCUGGGAAACCGGGUCUAAUACCGGAUAUGACUCCAUGACGCAUGUUGUGGGGUGGAAAAGCCUUGUGCGGCUGAGGAUGGGCCCGCGGCCUAUCAGCUUGUUGGUGGGGUGAUGGCCUACCAAGGCGACGACGGGUAGCCGGCCUGAGAGGGCGACCGGCCACACUGGGACUGAGACACGGCCCAGACUCCUACGGGAGGCAGCAGUGGGGAAUCUUGCGCAAUGGGCGAAAGCCUGACGCAGCGACGCCGCGUGAGGGAUGAC